AUUGAACGCUGGCGGCAGGCUUAACACAUGCAAGUCGAGCGGAGUGGUGGUGCUUGCACUAUCACUUAGCGGCGGACGGGUGAGUAAUGCUUAGGAAUCUGCCUAUUAGUGGGGGACAACAUUUUGAAAGGAAUGCUAAUACCGCAUACGUCCUACGGGAGAAAGCAGGGGAUCUUCGGACCUUGCGCUAAUAGAUGAGCCUAAGUCGGAUUAGCUAGUUGGUGGGGUAAAGGCCUACCAAGGCGACGAUCUGUAGCGGGUCUGAGAGGAUGAUCCGCCACACUGGGACUGAGACACGGCCCAGACUCCUACGGGAGGCAGCAGUGGGGAAUAUUGGACAAUGGGCGGAAGCCUGAUCCAGCCAUGCCGCGUGUGUGAAGAAGGCCUUAUGGUUGUAAAGCACUUUAAGCGAGGAGGAGGCUACUUUAGUUAAUACCUAGAGAUAGUGGACGUUACUCGCAGAAUAAGCACCGGCUAACUCUGUGCCAGCAGCCGCCGUAAGAC
rnacentral:rRNA from 1 species